rnacentral:rRNA from 1 species
AGAGUUUGAUCAUGGCUCAGGACGAACGCUGGCGGCGUGCCUAAUACAUGCAAGUCGAGCGGGGUUUAUGCAGUGGAGUCCUUCGGGAUGAAGCAGUAUAGACCUAGCGGCGGACGGGUGAGUAACGCGUGGGUAACCUGCCCUAAAGCCCGGGAUAACAGCGGGAAACCGCUGCUAAUACCGGAUACCUUUACCCUGGGGCAUCCUGGGGCAAAGAAAGAAUUUCGCUUUAGGAUGGGCCCGCGUCCCAUUAGCUAGUUGGUGAGGUAACGGCUCACCAAGGCGACGAUGGGUAGCCGGCCUGAGAGGGUGAACGGCCACACUGGGACUGAGACACGGCCCAGACUCCUACGGGAGGCAGCAGUAGGGAAUAUUGCGCAAUGGGCGAAAGCCUGACGCAGCGACGCCGCGUGAGCGAAGAAGGCCUUCGGGUCGUAAACCUCUGUCCUCAGGGAAGAAGGAAGUGACGGUACCUGAGGAGGAAGCCCCGGCUAACUACGUGCCAGCAGCCGCGGUAAU